rnacentral:rRNA from 1 species
AAUGGGUCAGCGACUUAUAUUCUGUAGCAAGGUUAACCGAAUAGGGGAGCCGAAGGGAAACCGAGUCUUAACUGGGCGUUAAGUUGCAGGGUAUAGACCCGAAACCCGGUGAUCUAGCCAUGGGCAGGUUGAAGGUUGGGUAACACUAACUGGAGGACCGAACCGACUAAUGUUGAAAAAUUAGCGGAUGACUUGUGGCUGGGGGUGAAAGGCCAAUCAAACCGGGAGAUAGCUGGUUCUCCCCGAAAGCUAUUUAGGUAGCGCCUCGUGAAUUCAUCUCCGGGGGUAGAGCACUGUUUCGGCAAGGGGGUCAUCCCGACUUACCAACCCGAUGCAAACUGCGAAUACCGGAGAAUGUUAUCACGGGAGACACACGGCGGGUGCUAACGUCCGUCGUGAAGAGGGAAACAACCCAGACCGCCAGCUAAGGUCCCAAAGUCAUGGUUAAGUGGGAAACGAUGUGGGAAGGCCCAGACAGCCAGGAUGUUGGCUUAGAAGCAGCCAUCAUUUAAAGAAAGCGUAAUAGCUCACUGGUCGAGUCGGCCUGCGCGGAAGAUGUAACGGGGCUAAACCAUGCACCGAAGCUGCGGCAGCGACACUGUGUGUUGUUGGGUAGGGGAGCGUUCUGUAAGCCUGUGAAGGUGUGCUGUGAGGCAUGCUGGAGGUAUCAGAAGUGCGAAUGCUGACAUAAGUAACGAUAAAGCGGGUGAAAAGCCCGCUCGCCGGAAGACCAAGGGUUCCUGUCCAACGUUAAUCGGGGCAGGGUGAGUCGACCCCUAAGGCGAGGCCGAAAGGCGUAGUCGAUGGGAAACAGGUUAAUAUUCCUGUACUUGGUGUUACUGCGAAGGGGGGACGGAGAAGGCUAUGUUGGCCGGGCGACGGUUGUCCCGGUUUAAGCGUGUAGGCUGGUUUUCCAGGCAAAUCCGGAAAAUCAAGGCUGAGGCGUGAUGACGAGGCACUACGGUGCUGAAGCAACAAAUGCCCUGCUUCCAGGAAAAGCCUCUAAGCAUCAGGUAACAUCAAAUCGUACCCCAAACCGACACAGGUGGUCAGGUAGAGAAUACCAAGGCGCUUGAGAGAACUCGGGUGAAGGAACUAGGCAAAAUGGUGCCGUAACUUCGGGAGAAGGCACGCUGAUAUGUAGGUGAAGUCCCUCGCGGAUGGAGCUGAAAUCAGUCGAAGAUACCAGCUGGCUGCAACUGUUUAUUAAAAACACAGCACUGUGCAAACACGAAAGUGGACGUAUACGGUGUGACGCCUGCCCGGUGCCGGAAGGUUAAUUGAUGGGGUCAGCGCAAGCGAAGCUCUUGAUCGAAGCCCCGGUAAACGGCGGCCGUAACUAUAACGGUCCUAAGGUAGCGAAAUUCCUUGUCGGGUAAGUUCCGACCUGCACGAAUGGCGUAAUGAUGGCCAGGCUGUCUCCACCCGAGACUCAGUGAAAUUGAACUCGCUGUGAAGAUGCAGUGUACCCGCGGCAAGACGGAAAGACCCCGUGAACCUUUACUAUAGCUUGACACUGAACAUUGAGCCUUGAUG